rnacentral:rRNA from 1 species
CCACCAACGCAGGCUCGAAGUUUUCUUCGGGUUGACGGUAGGUGGGGAAUAAGGACCGGCUAACUACGUGCCAGCAGCCGCGGUAAUACGUAGGGUCCGAGCGUUGUCCGGAAUUAUUGGGCGUAAAGAGCUCGUAGGCGGCGUGUCGCGUCUGCUGUGAAAGACCGGGGCUUAACUCCGGUUCUGCAGUGGAUACGGGCAUGCUAGAGGUAGGUAGGGGAGACUGGAAUUCCUGGUGUAGCGGUGAAAUGCGCAGAUAUCAGGAGGAACACCGGUGGCGAAGGCGGGUCUCUGGGCCUUACCUGACGCUGAGGAGCGAAAGCAUGGGGAGCGAACAGGAUUAGAUACCCUGGUAGUCCAUGCCGUAAACGUUGGGCGCUAGGUGUGGGGACUUUCCACGGUUUCCGCGCCGUAGCUAACGCAUUAAGCGCCCCGCCUGGGGAGUACGGCCGCAAGGCUAAAACUCAAAGGAAUUGACGGGGGCCCGCACAAGCGGCGGAGCAUGUUGCUUAAUUCGACGCAACGCGAAGAACCUUACCAAGGUUUGACAUCACCCGUGGACUCGCAGAGAUGUGAGGUCAUUUAGUUGGCGGGUGACAGGUGGUGCAUGGCUGUCGUCAGCUCGUGUCGUGAGAUGUUGGGUUAAGUCCCGCAACGAGCGCAACCCUUGUUCCAUGUUGCCAGCACGUAAUGGUGGGGACUCAUGGGAGACUGCCGGGGUCAACUCGGAGGAAGGUGGGGAUGACGUCAAGUCAUCAUGCCCCUUAUGUCUUGGGCUGCAAACAUGCUACAAUGGCCGGUACAAUGGGCGUGCGAUACCGUAAGGUGGAGCGAAUCCCUAAAAGCCGGUCUCAGUUCGGAUUGGGGUCUGCAACUCGACCCCAUGAAGGUGGAGUCGCUAGUAAUCGCGGAUCAGCAACGCCGCGGUGAAUACGUUCCCGGGCCUUGUACACACCGCCCGUCACGUCAUGAAAGUCGGCAACACCCGAAA